UUUUUUAAUUGAAAGCUGGAAUGAAUGGUUGAACGAGAAAAAUACUGUCUCAAUUUAAAUUUAUUAGAAUUUUAUUUUUAAGUUAAAAAGCUUAAAUAAUUUUAAAAGACGAGAAGACCCUAUAGAGUUUUAUAGCUUUUAUUAUUUUAAAUUUUUAGAAUUAUAUAAUUUUUUAUAGUAAGACUUAUUUUAUUGGGGUGAUAGAAAAAUUUAAUAAACUUUUUUUUAAUUAAAACAUUUAUUUAUGAAUUUUUGAUCCAUUAUUUAUGAUUAUAAGAUUAAAUUACCUUAGGGAUAACAGCGUAAUUUCUUUAAAGAGUUCAAAUCGAAAAAGAAGUUUGCGACCUCGAUGUUGGAUUAAAAUUAAAUUUUGGUGUAGAAGCUAAAA
rnacentral:rRNA from 1 species